GUUAGAUGCGGGGCUGCGGCGGUGGGAAUACGAAGUGGUGAAGGGUGAGUCGGAAGGACGGUGCGUAAGUCGUGCGUAGGUGGUGUUGUGAGUCAGUCGUGAAAGCCCUGGGCUCAACCUGGGAACGGCGAUGGAAACUGGGCGACUAGAGUGUGGUAGAGGGUAGCGGAAUUCCUGGUGUAGCAGUGAAAUGCGUAGAUAUCAGGAGGAACAUCCAUGGCGAAGGCAGCUACCUGGGCCAACACUGACACUGAGGCACGAAAGCGUGGGGAGCAAACAGGAUUAGAUACCCGAGUAGUC
rnacentral:rRNA from 1 species